rnacentral:rRNA from 1 species
AUUGAACGCUGGCGGCAUGCCUUACACAUGCAAGUCGAACGGCAGCACGGACUUCGGUCUGGUGGCGAGUGGCGAACGGGUGAGUAAUGCAUCGGAACGUGCCAUUGAGUGGGGGAUAACGUAGCGAAAGUUGCGCUAAUACCGCAUAUUCUGUGAGCAGGAAAGCAGGGGACCGCAAGGCCUUGCGCUCUUUGAGCGGCCGAUGUCAGAUUAGCUAGUUGGUGAGGUAAAGGCUUACCAAGGCGACGAUCUGUAGCGGGUCUGAGAGGAUGAUCCGCCACACUGGAACUGAGACACGGUCCAGACUCCUACGGGAGGCAGCAGUGGGGAAUUUUGGACAAUGGGGGCAACCCUGAUCCAGCCAUGCCGCGUGAGUGAAGAAGGCCUUCGGGUUGUAAAGCUCUUUCGGCCGGGAAGAAAUCGCAUGGGCCAAUACCCUGUGUGGAUGACGGUACCGGAAUAAGAAGCACCGGCUAACUACGUG